rnacentral:rRNA from 1 species
GACGAACGCUGGCGGCGUGCUUAACACAUGCAAGUCGAACGGUGAAGCGCCUUCCUUUUUGGUGGGUGUGGAUGAGUGGCGAACGGGUGAGUAACACGUGAGUAACCUGCCCCCUUCUUCUGGAUAACCGCAUGAAAGUGUGGCUAAUACGGGAUAUUCUGGGUCUGUCGCAUGAUGGGUCUGGGAAAGAUAUUGUUUCGGUGGGGGAUGGGCUCGCGGCCUAUCAGCUUGUUGGUGGGGUGAUGGCCUACCAAGGCGGUGACGGGUAGCCGGCCUGAGAGGGUGGACGGUCACACUGGGGCUGAGACACGGCCCAGACUCCUACGGGAGGCAGCAGUGGGGAAUAUUGCACAGUGGGCGCAAGGCUGAUGCAGCGACGCCGCGUGAGGGAUGGAGGCCUUCGGGUUGUGAACCUCUUUCGCCAGUGAAGCAGGCCUGCCGCGUUUGUGGGUGGGUUGACGGUAGCUGGAUAAGAAGCGCCGGCUAACUACGUG